rfam:Triticum urartu cultivar G1812 contig1016358, whole genome shotgun sequence.
AAACUACUCCAUCCGUUCCAAAUUACUCGUCGCGGAAAUGGAUGUAUCUAGAACUAAAAUACAUCUAGAUACAUCCAUACUUACAACAAGUAAUUCGGAAGGGAGGGAGUAGUAA